rnacentral:rRNA from 1 species
GACGAACCGUGCGAACGUUGUUCGGAUUCACUGGGCUUAAAGGGUGCGUAGGUGGCGCCAUAAGUCAGGUGUGAAAUCUCGGGGCUCAACCCCGAAACUGCACUUGAUACUGUGGUGCUCGAGUACUGGAGAGGAGAUUGGAAUUUACGGUGUAGCAGUGAAAUGCGUAGAUAUCGUAAGGAAGACCAGUGGCGAAGGCGAAUCUCUGGACAGUUACUGACACUGAGGCACGAAGGCCAGGGGAGCAAACGGG